rnacentral:rRNA from 1 species
GUGCCAGCAAGCCGCGUAAUACGUAGGUGGCGAGCGUUAUCCGGGAAUUAUUGGCGUAAAGAGCUCGUAGGCGGUUGUCGCGUCUGUCGUGAAAGUCCGGGGGCUUAACCCCGGGAUCUGCGGUGGGUACGGGCAGACUAGAGUGCAGUAGGGGAGACUGGAAUUCCUGGUGUAGCGGUGGAAUGCGCAGAUAUCAGGAGGAACACCGAUGGCGAAGGCAGGUCUCUGGGCUGUAACUGACGCUGAGGAGCGAAAGCAUGGGGAGCGAACAGGAUUAGAUACCCUGGUAGUCCAUGCCGUAAACGUUGGGCACUAGGUGUGGGGACCAUUCCACGGUUUCCGCGCCGCAGCUAACGCAUUAAGUGCCCCGCCUGGGGAGUACGGCCGCAAGGCUAAAACUCAAAGGAAUUGACGGGGGCCCGCACAAGCGGCGGAGCAUGCGGAUUAAUUCGAUGCAACGCGAAGAACCUUACCAAGGCUUGACAUGUUCUCGAUCGCCGUAGAGAUACGGUUUCCCCUUUGGGGCGGGUUCACAGGUGGUGCAUGGUUGUCGUCAGCUCGUGUCGUGAGAUGUUGGGUUAAGUCCCGCAACGAGCGCAACCCUCGUUCCAUGUUGCCAGCACGUCGUGGUGGGGACUCAUGGGAGACUGCCGGGGUCAACUCGGAGGAAGGUGAGGACGACGUCAAAUCAUCAUGCCCCUUAUGUCUUGGGCUUCACGCAUGCUACAAUGGCCGGUACAAUGGGUUGCGAUACUGUGAGGUGGAGCUAAUCCCAAAAAGCCGGUCUCAGUUCGGAUUGGGGUCUGCAACUCGACCCCAUGAAGUCGGAGUUCGCUAGUAAUCGGCAGGUCAGGAAGCGCGUGACCACGUCGG